rnacentral:ncRNA from 2 species
GUCCAUUGGUUGUGUUCUGGUUCUUGAGUCGGGCGAAAGCUUGAGGAGGGAAAAAGAGGGAAGCUGGUUCAAGCCAGCGCUGCCCCCGCAACUGUAGGCGGAGAGCGAAGCCAAAGAGGUCCGGGGGCUGCCACCCCUAGGGAUCGGCCGAGCCGUGACCCGUGAGUCAGAGACCUGCCAGGACAGGAAAAAGACU